AUAGAAACCUAAGAAAAAUGAGAAGUUGAUCAUUCAAACAGAAGAUAUUGAGAAAACACACACAUACACAGCAAUGAACUCUGCAGGGCACACAUGUGCAUAAGUAUAUGCCUAGGAAUGUAAAUGUAUGUCUUCAACUUUGGAGGAUAAUGGCAGUUCUCCGGUUGGAUACACGGAUUUAUACCACUACGUGUAGUGCAUGUCAGCUCUAAUGGCUCCACAUCUUUGUCAACAAUUGGUAUUGUCAGCACUUUUUAAUUUUAGCCAAUCUAGAAAGUAUGAAGAAAACACUGAUUUGUGGCUUAAAUUACCAUUUCUUUGAUGACUAAUGAGGUUGAUCAUAUUUACAUGUUUGUGGGCAAUGGGGAUAGCCUCUUUUGUAAAGUAUCUUUUCACAACUUGUUCUCUCAUUCUAUUUUGUUGUAUGUAUUUUCUUACUGAGUUUUACAAGUUAUUUAUAUAUUCCAAAUCUGAGCUUUUUGUUUUUGUAUGUGUUGCAGAUAGAUUUCCCUAGUCUGUUAACUUGGCUUCUAUUUUCUUGUCAGCUUUUUUUGAGGGAGAAAUGUCUAAGUUGUAUUGUCUAAUUUUGCAUAUUUCCUUUAUAGUUUAUGGUUUUUGUGACUGUUUUAAAUGUUCUAACUUAUCUUAAAAUCAUAAAUAUAUCCUCCUAUGUCAUGUUCUAUAACAGCACUCUGUUACUAAUUUCUGCAAUAAUAGACAUAUUUUAUAUCUGUGCUAACCUACAUCGUAGCCACUAGAUACAUGUUGCUACUGAGCACUUAAAGUAUGGCUAGUGUGACUGAGGAAAUACUUUAACAUUUUUAUUUGAUUUUAAUUAAUUUAAAUUUACAUUGCUAUAUGUGGCAAUUGCUAGUGGCAAUUUAAAUUAAUUUAAAUCACUAGAGGCCAACAUAUUGGAUAAAAAUCAUUCAAUUAUGUUCUCAGACCACAAUAUAAUUAAACUAGAAAUCAGUAACAGAAAGAUAGCUGGGAAAUUCCAAAAUAUUUGGAAAGUAGCACACUUCCAAAUUAUCCAGGGUCAAAAAAGUAUCAAGAUAAAUUUAAAAUUUUUUGAACCAAAUAGAAGAAAAAAUAAAAUGUAUCAAAAUUUGUGUGAUACAGUGAUAGCAGUGCUUAGAUUAACAUGUUUAGCAUUAAAUUCAUGUGUUCAAAAAGAAGAAAAAUCUAAAACUUCACCCUCCGCCUUAAGAAACUAGAGUAAGAAAAGCCAAUUAGGCCUGGCUGAAAUAGGUCAGAUCCUUAAAAGAGACUGCUGAAACUCCCACAAGGAGAACUAGAUAAACUGAAUAUCCAUUUAUUUAUUAUAGAAAUUUGAUCACUAUUUAAUAAACUUACAAAAAAAUAAAGCACCAGACUCAAAUGAUUUCACUGGUAAAUUCACUAAACAUUUAAAGAAAAAAUAAUACCAAGUUUCCACAAUUUCUUCAAGAAAAUGGAAGCCGUGAAAACACUGUCUAUAUUAUUCUAUAAGGCCAGCAUUACCCUAAUAUCAGUUCCAGAGAAAGACCUUGCAAGAAACAAAAACUACAUUCCAAUACCUCUCAUGAACAUAGACACAAGAAUCCUUACCAAAAUAUUAACAAAUUGAACCCAACAAGUAUAACAGGAAUUAUACACCAUGGCUGAGUGGGAUUUAUUUCAGGUACUCAAGGCUCAUUCAAAAUUUAAAAAUCAAUCAGUGUAAUUCAUCACAUCAAAACACUAAAUAAGAAAAAUCAUAUGAUAUAUCAAUUGAUACAGAAAAAGUGUUUAACAAAAUUUAGAAUCCAUGCAUGAUAAAAGCUCUCAGAGAAUUAGGAAUAAAAGGAAACUCUCAACCUGAUAAAGAACAUCUGUAAAUCUACAGCCAGCAUCUUAAUUGUAAGAAACUGGACAUAAGGCAAGAUUGUCCUCUUGUAUUAAAAAGUUUAUUCAAAGUCCUAGAUAGUGCAAUAAAACAUAAAAAAGAAAAAUUAUGGAGAUUAUUAAAAAAGAAAAGGAUCAUAUUCACAGAUGACAUAAUUUUCUAUGUAGAAUGCUCCAAAAUACCUAUUUAAAAACUCCUAGAACUAAUACAUACACACACACAGUAAUACACUUAGUAUAUACUAAUAUAUACUAUAACCUGCUCUCAAUACACAAGGUCAACAUGAAAAAAUCAAUUGCUUUUCUAUAUCUCAGCAAUAAACAAUGGGAAUUUAAAUUCUAAAAAGCAAUAUCAUUUACAAUAACACUAACAAAUUUUAAAGGUGGGGUGUAAAUCUAACAAAAUAUAUACAGAAUCUUUAUGUAGAAUAUUACAAAACACUGAUGAGGAAAUAAAGGAAGAUCUAAACAAAGGGAAUGAUAUUCUUGGUUUAUCGAUUGGAAGACUCGAUAUUGUUAAACUGUCUGUUCUAAUAUAUAGACUCAAUGCAAUCCCAAUGAAAAUUCCAGCAAUAUAUGUUUUUAGAUAUUGAUGAACAGGUCCUACAAUUUAUAUGGAAAAACAAAAGACUCAAAAUAGCCAACACAAUAUGAAAGAAAGAAAGUCAGAGGGCUGACACUACAUAACUUCAAUAUUUAUUGUAAAGCUACAGUAAUCAAGAUAGCAUGGUAUUAGCAAAAGAACAAGUAUAUGGAUGAGAAAAGAGAAUAGAGAGUCCAUUAAUAGACCCACACAAACAUAAAAAAGAAUCUUUGAUAAAAGAGUAAAGGCUAUUAAACUGAGCAAAAAUAGUCUUUUACACAAAUGGUACUAGAACAAUUGGACAUCCAUGCAAAACGUGAACUUACACACAGACAUUAUGCCUUUCACAAGAAUCUCAAAAUAAAUCAUCGACAUAAAUAAAAAUACAGAAAUUAUAAAACUUAUUGAAGAAAACAUAGGGUAAGAUCUAGAUGAUUUUGGAUUUAAGAAUGAAUAUUUAAAUACAACAAGAGUAGCAAAAUCAUGAAAAAUGAAUAGGUUGAACUUUAUAUAUUAAAAUCUGUUCUACAAAAGACAUUGUUAAAAGAAUGAAAAGAUAAGACACAGAUUGGAAAAAAUACUUGCAACACAGCUAUAUAAUAAAGGAAUUAUAUCCGAAAUAUGCAAUAUACAAAAAAACCUUAAAAGCCAACAAGAAAACAAAAAACAAAAUAAAAAUGAGUAGAAGAUCUGAACAGACACCUCGCCAAAGAAUAUAUGUCAUACAAGUGACAUACAUUGACAUACAAGUGAAUAUAUGUCAUACAAGUGACCAAAUAAGCCUAUGAAAAGCUGCUCAUUUCCAUUUUUUGUUAGGGAAAUAUAAAUUAAAACAACAUUCCAUUAAAAAGUCAAAAUGAUAAAGUAAACAGAUCAAUGGCGGCUAGGGAUUCUGAGGUGUAGUAGUAAAUAGAUGAAGCACACAGGAUUUUUUAGAGUGGUGAAACUGUUGGGUAUGAUACAUACUGGCAGAUACAUGAUUCUCUACAUUUCUGAAAACCAUAGAACUUUACAGCAUGAAGAGUGGAGCUUAAUGUUUGCAAAUUAAACAAACAUUUAGGAGAUAAGAGGAUCCUAGGAUGAGAUGCAGGCUAUGAUUUUUUUAAAAAACAACUGUAUUACAAAUGUAUGAAAUAAUCUUGCUAAAGAGGAUGGAGAAAAGAUAAUUGGUUAGUAUAUUUAGAAAUAAGUAGAGUCUAUAAUACUGAAGAUAAAAGGAACCUUACAUAAGCUCUGUAUUCUAGUUGAUAAACUUGUUUCCCACAGGGAUAUGGGUCAAUAAUUCUGAAAUUACUAUACCUGUACAUUGGAAUUGCACAAUUAAGUAAACAGCUGGCUGAUGACAGAAGCCAGGUUUCUCACUGUUGGAGUGACAGGUUACACAUAAACAGGUGGGGAAUGCCAGAAGGAUCCAUGUGAUCAUUGAUCAGAAUGGGAGACAAGAGUAUGAACUCAUGUUUAGCUUAAAAUAAAUACUCUUAGAUACAUACAGAAAAAUUUAUAAAUAUGCACGUAUACAUGAGUUAGUACACACACAUACUUCCUUGUUCUUUCAGCUGAGAUGGUCUUGAGCAACGGGACAGUACCAGUGAACACACCUAGCUCAAAGAUAUCAGUUUUUUAUUCCAUUCUCCAAUGAAAGGAUGCCAGACUUGUUGCACAAAUGACCAAUUUGGGUCUGUGGCAUGAAAUAAUGAUCUUGCAGCAUCUUGUAGUGCCAGAAAGUGAGAAAAAACUCAAAUAUAAAACCCACAAAACCCACAGUGACAGGAAAAUAUCAAAGAGACAUUGGAGCCAACUGAAAGAGCUUCCAAUGGCGAAAGCUGGAACAAUAUGAGCAACAAAAUAAAGUUAUAUUGGGGUGUAAGCUGAAGCAGAAAAGAAGUAUCAAUGAGUUCAUACUAGCAUCAGUAAAUGUUUGGAUAUAUAAAUGAAUAGGGGAGGAGAUCUAAAUCUACUAUGCAGAAUUCAAAACAUCUUGUGAGAGAUUAUCUUUCAUAGAGAGAGAGUAUUAACCCAGCUACUUAAAUAUUGGCUGCGGACAGUAUUCUAAAGAAAACAAUAUGGAAAAGGGGAAAACAAGUGACUUUACAGUGCAGAAAUCUGACAAACAUUACCUUAGUCAAGCAAUCAAGAUUAACAUCAAUAAUGACAAGUCAUAUUGAUGGCAUGUACCUUUCAUGUAAUUCAUGGAGAAUGGCACUUUACCUGUGUGGUCUUUCUCCCCAAACCUCGAAGUUCUAGUAUAAUUUGGAGGAAAGCAUCGGAUCAUCCCCACUGAGGCACAUUCUACAGAAUACCUAGCCUGUACUCUGAGAACUGCUGCAACCAAAAAGAACCUAAGGAGACAUGUUGGCUAAGAGUAAUGAUUAUCCUGAAUGGGACACUGGAACAGUAAAAGGUCAGUAGAUCAAAACUAAGGAAAUCUGAAUAAAGCAUAGACUUUCGUUAAUGGUAUAAAUAUCAGUUCAUUAAUUAUAACAAAUUUUCCAUACUAAUUUAAGAUGUCAACAACAGGGGAAACUAGAUGUUAAGUACAUAGGAACUCUCUGUACUAUCCUUGCAACUUUUCUGUAAACCUAACACAAUUUUAAAAUGAUAAUUUGAUUAAAAUAAAUUAAUGGUGAUAUGUUGAAAUUUUUACCUCUAAAACUAGCAUCUCCAGUGUCUCCAUUUUUAUUCAAAAUUAUAUUAGUAGCCCUAGCCAGUGAAAUAAGUUAUGAGAAAGGAAUAAAAUAAGGAUAGAAAAGUUUUUUUUAAAAUAAUGUAUACAUAGAAAAUGUAAUUCUAUAAAUAAACCUUUAGAAUUAUCAGCGUCAUUGAAUCAAUUCAUUAUACACAAAUUAAUUUAAUUUUAAUUUUACAUACCAGCUACAGAAAUUUUAAGACGUCUCAAAAUUAUUGAAAUAUAAUAAGACCUACAUAAAUGAUAGAUAUACCAUGUCAAUAUUUUUGAAGACUUGAUGUUGUAUAAUUUCCAAUUCUUCUCAAAGUGAUCUAUAGAUUCAAUGUAAUGACAACAAAAGUCCCAGCAGGUGUGUUUCUGAAAAUUGAGAUGCUGAGACUAAAAUUGUAUCGAAAUAUAAAGGAACCAGAAUGGUUAAGGGAAACUUGAAGAAUUACAGAAUGAGAGAAUUUGAUUUACCAGAAAAGACUUAUACCAUAGUUACAAUCACUAAAUAAGAAUUGGUACAAGUAAAGACCACAGACUAAUGAAGGCAAGAGACAGCAGAAACAGAUCCAUUCUUACAGGACUACUUGAAUUACGACAAAGGUGGCACGUUGGAGGAAUAGAAAAAAGAUGGGCUUUUCAGUGAAUCGUCCUGAGUCAAUAGUCCUGAGUCAAUCAGUUGUCCCUCUGGGAACCAAAUGAAACCUGACGUUUGCUUUUCGUAUUUCCUUUGGGGUAGGCCUGCUGGUUAGUGUGGUUUAUAUUUAUCAUUCAACGAUUAUCGUUAAAUACCAUUUUCCUAUUUUAUUUUUCAUGAACCGUAUAACUAUCUCAAAUUAUCUCAUUUAUUUGAUUGCUUUUAAAUUAUUUUUCCUGUUCCCACUACAAUAUAAAGUCCCUGAGAACAAGAAUUUAUCUAUGCUGCUAAACAUUGUAGCUAAAAUAUCUAAAAUAUUUCAAGGUAUAAUUAUAAGCUUUUGAAUAAAUAAAUGAAUAUACAAAUCUGCCAGGAAAAUGAGGAGUGAAAAUAACAUAAUCCUUUGAUCUAGCGCAGGAAGGAUGAGGACAGUUUAUUUGAGAGCCUGGGAUGGGGUAAUGGUUUGGAACAUUCUAGAUAAAAGGCAUAGCAAAUGCUGAAACAUAAUAAAUGUGUAGGGGAACAUCACAGGGUGACUUUCUGAGUGGGCUAUUUUUUUAUGUAGUAAAUGGAAAUGUCUGUUUAAAAUAAAGG
rnacentral:lncRNA from 1 species